UUAGCGCAUGUGUUCCCGUUCCGGCGCUCGACUGAUACCCUUUUACUUAAUCGUUCCUUAUUUGCUUUUUAUAUGUUACAUCUUUUAAACGCUUUCUUUUCUUUUCUCUUUUUGUGGUUUGUGGUAGUUCUUAGUUGGAAGAGGUAUAAUUAUCAUUUAAGCGAAAAGGUUCCCUUUCUUGCACUCGACUAAUAUCUUGUUCCUGAUUUGAUACCUUUUAGUUCUUUAUUUACUCUUCAAAAGCUGCAAUGUUUUAAAACCAUAUGAUAAGACAUGCCCAAAAUAAGCUGAAAUAAAUUCAGUCGACCUGGUUU
rnacentral:lncRNA from 1 species